UGAUAUUAAGCCGGAGGAACGGGUUAUCUUGAUGAGAUAAAAUACGAUUACAUACUAUCUAAUAUCAU
rnacentral:tRNA from 1 species